rnacentral:tRNA from 1 species
UCCCUGGUGGCUCAGAGGUUAAAGCAUCUGCCUGCAACGCGGAAUACCUGGGUUUGAUCCCUGGGUCGGGAA